rnacentral:rRNA from 1 species
GUUGAACGCUGGCGGCAGGCCUAACACAUGCAAGUCGAACGGUAACAGGAAGAAGCUUGCUUCUUUGCUGACGAGUGGCGGACGGGUGAGUAAUGUCUGGGAAACUGCCUGAUGGAGGGGGAUAACUACUGGAAACGGUAGCUAAUACCGCAUAAUGUCGCAAGACCAAAGAGGGGGACCUUCGGGCCUCUUGCCAUCGGAUGUGCCCAGAUGGGAUUAGCUAGUAGGUGGGGUAACGGCUCACCUAGGCGACGAUCCCUAGCUGGUCUGAGAGGAUGACCAGCCACACUGGAACUGAGACACGGUCCAGACUCCUACGGGAGGCAGCAGUGGGGAAUAUUGCACAAUGGGCGCAAGCCUGAUGCAGCUAUGCCGCGUGUAUGAAGAAGGCCUUCGGGUUGUAAAGUACUUUCAGCGGGGAGGAAGGGAGUAAAGUUAAUACCUUUGCUCAUUGACGUUACCCGCAGAAGAAGCACCGGCUAACUCCGUG